rnacentral:rRNA from 1 species
CCUACGGGAGGCAGCAGUGAGGAAUUUUGCGCAAUGGGCGAAACCCUGACGCAGCACGCCGCGUGAGUGAUGAAGGCCUUCGGGUCGUAAAGCUCUGUCAAGUGGGAAGAACCCUUUCCGGGGUAAUAUCSUGGGGAGCUGACGGUACCMCYGAAGGAAGCACCGGCUAACUCCGUGCCARCAGCCGCGGUAAUACGGAGGGUGCAAGCGUUAUUCGGAAUUACUGGGCGUAAAGGGCGCGCAGGCGGCCUUGUAAGUCAGUUGUGAAAGCCCKGGGCUCAACCUCGGAAGUGCGACUGAAACUGCRGGGCUUGAGUAUGGUAGAGGRAAKUGGAAUUCCYGGUGUAGCGGUGAAAUGCGUAGAUAUCKGGAGGAACACCGGUGGCRAAGGCRACUUCCUGGACCAAAACUGACGCUGAGGCGCGAAAGCCUGGGUAGCAAACAGGAUUARAUACCCUGGUAGUCC